AUUUUUAGUAGAGACGGGGUUUCACCGUGGUCUCGAUCUCGUGACCUCUUGAUCCGCCCGCCUCGGCCUCCCAAAGUGCUGGGAUUACAGGCGUGAGCCACCGCGCCCGGCGCAGGGCGUGCCCAGGGCUUCUGAUGCCAGAGCCCAGGAAUGAGCUUUUGCCUUUUGGAUUCAGGGCUUCCCUGUACUCUCACAGAGUCAGAAUGGCCGUAUGUUUACAUGUGAAGCCCUGGGGCUCCCUGGCCCCUUCCUGGGCCGUUCUCCACCUUUUCUCUUCUCACCCUUUGCUGUUCCCUGAGUCAUGCAAUCCAUAGUGAAGAGGCCAGAGGCCCGGAUGGGGAAGUGCCGGGGGCAGCCGUGGCAGCUUCAUCACAGAGCUCCUGGGGACUGAUGCACACAGCUGUGGAAAUGAUAGUAAGGCUCUUUGUUAGAGCUCUUGUGGCUGCCUGGAGAUGAUGCUGCCUUGGCCAUGGCCUGCUGUUAUCCUCGGGGAGCUGGGACGUGGGCACAGGGGCAUGCAUUUCCCCCUCAGCACUAGCUCCAAGGGACAAUGUGCAGCACUUGCUGAGGGCAGAAGAAAAUGGAAAACAAAGACAAACAAACCAAAGAAGGCGGAUGAAGUAGAAGCCAUUCAUUCUUUCCAUGAACAUUGACCCUAUAUCCUGAAGGUGGAUCCAAUGAAAAAAGAGAAGCAGCAAGAGUGGCUUCUGUUUCCCUGGCUGGACUCUGAGUAAUAUAGCAGCAAUAAUUUCCCAAGGGAAAGGAGGAAGACGGGUUGGCUCCAAUGAAGACACUUAUGAUGUGAAGAGUUCCCGUAACAGUUCACCAUCUCUGGGGCAGUUAUACAACAGGGAUCCCUGACUUCUUCAGAACCGAGAGUUCAAAUCAGGACUAUCUGGUGAUGAAUCUAUCCACUAGAAGCUGAUAUGAAGAGUCAGGUCACUAGAAAACAGAAUAUCAUGUGAUUGUGUUUGACUGCACAACUGGUCUCUAUCAAUAUCUAUGCCUGAAGAGGAAGAAUGUUUGCCUAGUAAGGCCAUUAAUAUUGGCAAAUCUUGCAUAGACACAAGUGGUUGUAAUUCUUACUACCAUUAAGACAGUAGAUGGAUGGCUUUGAAUUUGGGCCAAGUGAGCAAAGGCAGCCCCUCCCUCUCUACGUUCCAGCCGUUUUGCUCACUGUGAGGACUCAGCUGUGACACGGCAAGUAUCUUUUACGCACAUUUCUGUGAUUUGCCCAGCACACAUAGAACCAUCAUGAGCCUUUUAAUAGCCAGUAAUAGUUUGUCAUAAACUUGUAAGAUAAGAUGCUUUUUGUUUAAUACUCAAGUGCAUUAGAAACCUGGCAUCAACACAACAAGAAAAUUUGUUCUCUUGAGAUUCAGUAGAGAGAUUCAAGGUCACAUAAUCAUUCCAGAAAUUUUAAAACGGCUUCCUUUUAUUCGGUGCCAAGAAAUGCUGAGCUCCAGAAACUUCCUAUAAAGCUCAUCUUGAUAGUUUUUAAAAUACUUUAGAUAUCACACUCACCCAUGUUUUUUGAAUGGCAGCUGGAGUUAAGAAUUCUGUUUCCUUUGAGGUACUAUCCCAUAACUCCUGAUUUUUUUUUCAACUCUCUUUAUGUUUGGAUUUUUGCCAAAUAUUGCUAUUGAUCAAAGGAAGAAAAUGUUGUGCUUAGUUUUAUAAUGCUGGGUCCAUCAAGAUUGAACAUGGUCUUCCUUUCUCAAAACAUAGACUUACUGUGUUGGUAUUCUUCAACCUGCUCUGCCUCACCUCCAUGACAGUCCAUCGUCACAGCUGCUGCCAUUAUAGAUGUGGGAUGAUGUGUGGAAUGUGUUCAUUACUCUUUUUGUAAACACACACACAGGCACACACACACACACACAUCAUAACUCGUGUUCAAUGAUCUAAAAUCCAAAACUCAUUUUGGAUUUAAUUACAUAUAUUGCUUUUUUUUUUCUUUUUUUUUGAGACAGAGCCUUACUCUGUCGCCAGGCUGGAGUGCAGUGGUGCGAUCCCAGCUCACUGCAACCUCCGCCUCCCGGGUUCAAGCAAUUCUCCUGCCUCAGCCUCCCAAGUAGCUGGGAUUACAGGCACCUGCCACCACUCCUGGCUAAUUUUUGUAUUUUUAGUAGAGACGAGGUUUCACCAUGUUUGUCAGGAUGGUAUAUUGCUCUUUUUAUGUGCUUCUAAGUAUAAUCAUAUGGCAGAAAAGAGAGGCCAAAAAAACUAGUUAAACUGGGUUUACACUCUCAUUUCAUUGCCUGGACAUUUCACGAUCCUCUCCACAGCAUCUGCAAAGCUAGAAGAUCUAGAUUCUCAAAAUUCCACCUCCUCCCAUCUUUUGUCCACUCUCUCUGUUUUACCCCAUAUCAGUUUAGAUAUAACCACAGUCCCUUCACCAGUUUUCAUAAGAAAUCCACGUAUGCCAUUGAUUUCUAGUUUAGUGAGCUUGGGAAAUGUCUUGGACUUUGGGAGAGGGUCACAGUGCAGUGGGGCAGCUUUCCUCAGCCCAGCUGGCUUCUUUCUCAUCCACCUCUCCCAGCUCUUCAGUUCUCCUUUCAGGAUGGCUCUAUGAAGAUUACUUUCUUUCAUUCUUUCACUUAUUCAGAACAAGGAUCUCAUCCCAAAUUUGUACAGGAUGGCUUAUCGAAGCAUUCUGAAGAAUAAAGAGACUUCCAUUUGGCAUGCGUGGAGUAGCUAUUUUCUCCCUGUGUCUUCACAUGGUCUUCCGUCUGUGAGUCUACCCUAAUCUCUUCCUAUAAGGACACCAGUCAUAUUGGAUUAGGGUCCACCCUAAUGACCUUAUUUUAAUUUAAUUACCUCUUUAAAGAUGCUACUGUGUUUCCAAAUACAGCCACAUGCUGAGGUAUUGGAGGAGAGGGCUUCAACAUAUGAAUUGAGGGCUGAUACAAUUCAGCCCAUGAGACUCCCCUUAAAUGAGCAGCUCAUAUAAUUGAAGAUGCAUGAGAACAGAGACCUUGUCUGCC
rnacentral:lncRNA from 10 species